AUCCAGUUGACGAGUCCCAAAUAGGACAAAAGUCGUGUCCUCGAU
rnacentral:hammerhead_ribozyme from 1 species